AUUCGGUUGACGAGUCGCAAAUAAGAAGAAACGAGCGUCCUGAAU
rfam:Schistosoma haematobium scaffold204_7, whole genome shotgun sequence.